rnacentral:rRNA from 1 species
GAAGUAAAAGUCGUAACAAGGUUUCCGUAGGUGAACCUGCGGAAGGAUCAUUACCUAGAGUUGUAGGCUUUGCCUGCUAUCUCUUACCCAUGUCUUUUGAGUACCUUACGUUUCCUCGGUGGGUUCGCCCACCGAUUGGACAAAUUUAAACCCUUUGCAGUUGAAAUCAGCGUCUGAAAAAACUUAAUAGUUACAACUUUCAACAACGGAUCUCUUGGUUCUGGCAUCGAUGAAGAACGCAGCGAAAUGCGAUAAGUAGUGUGAAUUGCAGAAUUCAGUGAAUCAUCGAAUCUUUGAACGCACAUUGCGCCCCUUGGUAUUCCAUGGGGCAUGCCUGUUCGAGCGUCAUUUGUACCUUCAAGCUCUGCUUGGUGUUGGGUGUUUGUCUCCUGUAGACUCGCCUCAAAACAAUUGGCAGCCGGCGUAUUGAUUUCGGAGCGCAGUACAUCUCGCGCUUUGCACUCAUAACGACGACAUCCAAAAGUACAUUUUUACACUCUUGACCUCGGAUCAGGUAGGGAUACCCGCUGAACUUAAGCAUAUCA